rnacentral:rRNA from 1 species
UGGAAACGGUAGCUAAUACCGCAUAAUGUCGCAAGACCAAAGUGGGGGACCUUCGGGCCUCAUGCCAUCAGAUGUGCCCAGAUGGGAUUAGCUAGUAGGUGGGGUAACGGCUCACCUAGGCGACGAUCCCUAGCUGGUCUGAGAGGAUGACCAGCCACACUGGAACUGAGACACGGUCCAGACUCCUACGGGAGGCAGCAGUGGGGAAUAUUGCACAAUGGGCGCAAGCCUGAUGCAGCCAUGCCGCGUGUGUGAAGAAGGCCUUCGGGUUGUAAAGCACUUUCAGCGGGGAGGAAGGCGAUAAGGUUAAUAACCUUGUCGAUUGACGUUACCCGCAGAAGAAGCACCGGCUAACUCCGUGCCAGCAGCCGCGGUAAUACGGAGGGUGCAAGCGUUAAUCGGAAUUACUGGGCGUAAAGCGCACGCAGGCGGUCUGUCAAGUCGGAUGUGAAAUCCCCGGGCUCAACCUGGGAACUGCAUUCGAAACUGGCAGGCUAGAGUCUUGUAGAGGGGGGUAGAAUUCCAGGUGUAGCGGUGAAAUGCGUAGAGAUCUGGAGGAAUACCGGUGGCGAAGGCGGCCCCCUGGACAAAGACUGACGCUCAGGUGCGAAAGCGUGGGGAGCAAACAGGAUUAGAUACCUGGUAGUCCACGCCGUAAACGAUGUCGAUUUGGAGGUUGUGCCCUUGAGGCGUGGCUUCCGGAGCUAACGCGUUAAAUCGACCGCCUGGGGAGUACGGCCGCAAGGUUAAAACUCAAAUGAAUUGACGGGGGCCCGCACAAGCGGUGGAGCAUGUGGUUUAAUUCGAUGCAACGCGAAGAACCUUACCUGGUCUUGACAUCCACAGAACUUUCCAGAGAUGGAUUGGUGCCUUCGGGAACUGUGAGACAGGUGCUGCAUGGCUGUCGUCAGCUCGUGUUGUGAAAUGUUGGGUUAAGUCCCGCAACGAGCGCAACCCUUAUCCUUUGUUGCCAGCGGUUAGGCCGGGAACUCAAAGGAGACUGCCAGUGAUAAACUGGAGGAAGGUGGGGAUGACGUCAAGUCAUCAUGGCCCUUACGACCAGGGCUACACACGUGCUACAAUGGCAUAUACAAAGAGAAGCGACCUCGCGAGAGCAAGCGGACCUCAUAAAGUAUGUCGUAGUCCGGAUUGGAGUCUGCAACUCGACUCCAUGAAGUCGGAAUCGCUAGUAAUCGUAGAUCAGAAUGCUACGGUGAAUACGAUUGCGGGCCUUGUACA